GGAGCUGGCAGGUGAUCCAGGUCACGACAGAGGUCAAGCAGUGGGAGGAUAGAGACAUGGUGGUCAAAGGAAUGGCAGGGGACAAGCACCCCUUCUGAGAGGCAGCCAUAGGCCUUGUUUGAGAGGUGUGGGGGAUGUGGUAGACGCCACAGACCAAGACAGUGGCAGCAACAGCAAAGAGUGUUCAAUGAAGUCCGAGCAAUAGACCAUGUCAUAAAUCAUGGCAUGACAACGACUGCGGCAGCUACAAUGAUUCAACUAAACCUGAAAGAUCAACUGUGGCCUCAAUCAGCUUCCCACAAUGAGAACCGAGGGUGACAGAGUUGGAUGCUGUUAACAUCACAAAUUCAACUAUUUGGAUGAGGCAGGAUUCAACCUGGCCAAGACAAGGAGAGGUGGGAUAAUUUCAUUGGCCAGCGGGCACCCAUCCAAGUACCUGGACAACGUGGGGCCAACAUUACCAUGUGUGGGGCUAUAUCAGAAGUUGGUAUGGUGGGACGCAGACCUCGUAUUGGAUCCUAUAAUGCAGCUCUCCUUGUAACAUUCAUUGAUGAGCUAAAUCAGUCACCCUUCUCCAAGCCAUGGAUGACUCAUGCAGUGACGUUACGGCAGACCAGUGUCAGGCCUGGAUUCGCCAUGCCCAAAGAUUCUUCCCAAGAUGUUUGGCUAAUGAAAAUGUCCAUUGUGAUGUGGAUGAGAACCUGUGGCCAAAUCCACAAGACCGGAUUAAUGGAUAUACAGAAGUACAGUAAUCAAUCUUUUGUUUAGCUUUUUACAGUAAGGCAGGUGAGGAACACUGCAGUUGACAUUUUACUGUAUUUUUUUAUCUAAUUGUUUUUGCUGACUCCAAGACACCCAUGUUGUGAUUUUAUAUUUAAUCAAUACAUGUUAGAUUUUAAUUGAUUCCACUGUGUAUUCUCUCUACUAGUUAUUUUACAAUAAUGUAUUUGUGUAGUAUCAAAAUGAA